CAACUACAACUACAGCUGCCCCAACAACAACAACCACAGCUGCUCCAGUAACUACAACCACAGCUGCCCCAACAACUACAAUCCCAGUUGCCCCAGCUACAACAACAACAGCUAGCCCAGCAACAACAACCACAGCACCCCCAGCAGCACCAAGUGUGCGUAUUCGGGCAGUUGUGGUGCAACCAUAUGUUGUACAACUAAGUGAUCCAAACAGCGAACAAUUUAAGGCUCUCGCAAUAACAGUUGUUGCAGUGUACACUGACAUCUACAGAACUAAAUUUGGCUCGCUCUUUGUCCGCUGUAUUGUCAUAGCGUUUAGAGAAGCUGUGGGUACAGCAAGAGCAAGCAAUACUGAGGCAGAGGUGGAUGUUGAGUUCAACAAUACUGCAUCAUCAGGACAAAUCCCACAAGCCGAAGUUGUUGCAACAACCUUGGUAGAAGCUUUCACUAACUCCAGCAAUAACUUCAACCUUACUAUCAACGCCAGCUCUGUCGCAGUAGUUUCAACUGUUGUAACAACAACUACCCUUCCUGCAACAACAACUACUGGUGCAGCAACUACAACUACUGGUGCUGCAACUACAACUACUGGUGCAG